GAACCGGGAGACGAGGAGCUAGGGUGCGGGAAACCGCGACGCGGCAGGGCGCCGAGACUCCUGGAGAGAAGCUGCGGGCAGCCCCGACGGCACUUUCAGGGCUGCGUCGGGGGCUCCCCGGGGCACGGAGUGGGCUUCGGAAACCGGUUCCGAAGGAGCUGACAGGGUGGGGAGGGAACGCGAGGGGCUGGGGCGACGGCUUUGCCACCGCGGAGGAGCCGCCCGGAGGUUUCCUCUUCCCAGGCGUUAUUGUGCGCCUCAGUUCGAAAAGAUUACGUCUAUUUUGAGAACUCCUCCAGCAAUCCUUACCUGGUUAGACGGAUUGAGGAACUCAACAAGACUGCAAAUGGAAAUGUGGAGGCAAAGGUCGUCUGUCUUUUCCGGCGCAGGGACAUUUCUAGUAGCCUCAACAGCUUGGCUGAUAGUAAUGCCAGUGAGUA